rnacentral:rRNA from 1 species
GAUGAACGCUGGCGGCGUGCCUAAUACAUGCAAGUCGAGCGAACAGACGAGGAGCUUGCUCCUUUGACGUUAGCGGCGGACGGGUGAGUAACACGUGGAUAACCUACCUAUAAGACUGGGAUAACUUCGGGAAACCGGAGCUAAUACCGGAUAACAUGUUGAACCGCAUGGUUCAACAGUGAAAGACGGUCUUGCUGUCACUUAUAGAUGGAUCCGCGCCGCAUUAGCUAGUUGGUAAGGUAACGGCUUACCAAGGCAACGAUGCGUAGCCGACCUGAGGGGGUGAUCGGCCACACUGGAACUGAGACACGGUCCAGACUCCUACGGGAGGCAGCAGUAGGGAAUCUUCCGCAAAGGGCGAAAGCCUGACGGAGCAACGCCGCGUGAGUGAAGAAGGUCUUCGGAUCGUAAAACUCUGUUAUUAGGGAAGAACAAAUGUGUAAGUAACUAUGCACGUCUUGACGGUACCUAAUCAGAAAGCCACGGCUAACUACGUG